rnacentral:lncRNA from 1 species
CCUGGUUUCUUCACACAUCGCACCGACAGAAACAAGCAUCUCUCUGGUAAGAAGAAGGGCGGGCGGGGGGGGGGGGGGUAUACCUUAUGAUUAACGAGACGUGGUGUGAUCAUAACAACAUACAGGAACUCAAGUCCUUUUGCUCACCUGACCUAGAAUUCCUUACAAUCAAAUGUCGACCGCAUUAUCUACCAAGCGAAUUCUCUUCGAUUAUAAUCACAGCCGUAUAUAUCCCCCCCAAGCAGACACAUCGAUGGCCCUGAAUGAACUUCAUUGGACUCAAUGUAAACUGGAAACCAGAUAUCCUGAGGCUGCAUUCAUUGUAGCUGGAGAUUUUAACAAGGCUAAUCUGAAAACAAGACUCCCUAAAUUUUAUCAGCAUAUCGAAUGCGCUACCCGGGCGGAAAAAAUCCUGGACCAUUGUUGCUCUAACUUCUGCAACGCAUACAAAGCACUGCCCUGCACUCCUUUCGGCAAAUCUAACCACGACUCCAUUUUGUUGCUCCCAGCCUAUAGACAGAAACCAAAACAGGAAAUGCCUAUGCUCAGGUCUGUUCAACGCUGGUCCGACCAAUCUGAUCCCACGCUUCAAGAUUGCUUCGAUCAUGUGGACUGGGAUAUGUUCCACAUAGCGUCGGACAACAACAUUGAUGAAUACGCUGAUUCGGUGAGCGAGUUAAUUAGCAAGUGCAUCGGUGAUGUUGUACCCACAGCAACGGACAUAUUCAAUCAAACCUUAUCCCAGUCUGCUGUUCCCACAUGCUUCAAGAGGGCCACCAUUGUUCCAGUUCCCAAGAAAGCUAAGGUAACUGAGCUAAAUGACUAUCACCCCGUAGCACUCACCUCCAUCAUCAUGAAGUGCUUUGAGAGACAAGUCAAGGAUCAUAUCACCUCCACCCUACCUGACACCCUAGACCCACUCCAAUUUGCUUACCGCCCCAAUAGGUCCACAGACGACGCAAUCGCAAUCACACUGUACACUGCCCUAACCCACCUGGACAAGAGGAAUACCUAUGUAAGAAUGCUGUUCUUCGACUACAGCCCAGCAUUUAACACCAUAGUACCCUCCAAACUCGUCAUUAAGCUCGAGGCCCUGGGUCUCGACCCCGCCCUGUGCAACUGGGUCCUGGACUUCCUGAUGGGCCGCCCCCAGGUGAUGAGGGUAGGAAACAAC